GAUGAAGAACGCAGCGAAAUGCGAUAAGUAAUGUGAAUUGCAGAAUUCAGUGAAUCAUCGAAUCUUUGAACGCACAAUGCGCCCUCUGGUAUUCCGGGGGGCAUGCCUGUUCGAGCGUCAUUAUAACCACUCAAGCUCUCGCUUGGUAUUGGAGUUCGCGAUCUCGCGGCUCCUAAAAUCAGUGGCGGUGCCUGUCGGCUCUACGCGUAGUAAUACUCCUCGCGAUUGAGUCCGGUAGGUUUACUUGCCAGCAACCCCCAAUUUUUACAGGUUGACCUCGGAUCAGGUAGGGAUACCCGCUGAACUUAAGCAUAUCAAUAAGCGGAGGA
rnacentral:misc_RNA from 1 species